rnacentral:misc_RNA from 1 species
GAAAGAUGCUGGUUCAACAUCUUGCCGAGGACGGCCAAACGUCACCGUAUAAUGUCAUACGCGUAGCUAUACGAUCUAGGACAUGCAGCCUUAAACAUCUCCGAAUAAAACCGACGGUUUACCGUCGCGGGUGUAUUGAACGCGCCGCUUCAACAGUAUUCUGGGCUCCCAAACGCCUUGCAGGUGCUUUUGCAUGCGUCACCGUAACCCACCCUUGGCUCUGGUGGACACUAUCUUUUCAGGUCUGUUGAGCAACCCGUCGAAGCCCACAUAACCGACCGGCCACACCCUUCAACAAGCAUAGGGAGAUUGUAGCCGUCAACGAGGCUGACAUCGUAGAAAUCCUGCCCACCUGACCCAACUGUGAACUUAUCCAGGGUAGCGGGCGGGGCGGCUCCCAGUCCGUUGCAUUCGACUUGGCCCGAACUAGAGUCUCCAGUC